GACGAACGCUGGCGGCGUGCCUAAUACAUGCAAGUUGAGCGCUGAAGGUUGGUACUUGUACCAACUGGAUGAGCAGCGAACGGGUGAGUAACGCGUGGGGAAUCUGCCUUUGAGCGGGGGACAACAUUUGGAAACGAAUGCUAAUACCGCAUAAAAACUUUAAACACAAGUUUUAAGUUUGAAAGAUGCAAUUGCAUCACUCAAAGAUGAUCCCGCGUUGUAUUAGCUAGUUGGUGAGGUAAAGGCUCACCAAGGCGAUGAUACAUAGCCGACCUGAGAGGGUGAUCGGCCACAUUGGGACUGAGACACGGCCCAAACUCCUACGGGAGGCAGCAGUAGGGAAUCUUCGGCAAUGGACGAAAGUCUGACCGAGCAACGCCGCGUGAGUGAAGAAGAUUUUCGGAUCGUAAAACUCUGUUGGUAGAGAAGAACGUUGGUGAGAGUGGAAAGCUCAUCAAGUGACGGUAACUACCCAGAAAGGGACGGCUAACUACGUG
rnacentral:rRNA from 1 species